ACUGAGCCCCUGAGGAGCCCCUGAAUAUUCUGCUUAAUAUCAUAUAUUCUCGAUAUAAGGUUGAGCCUGAUUCCUAUGACUGAAGGUCUUUCCUUUUUCUAGAAUUAGGUCUUCCUGGACUUCGUUGGUACCAAUUUUCCAAUCUCAAAAGUAGAGACAGAGGGAAUAAGAGUGAGGACAUUUAGUUCCAGUCUGACUUUGCCAUUAUUUCUCUGUGUAUGUUUGAGAAAGUCAUGUCCAAGUUUCAGGGCCUCAUGUUCUUCAUCUGUAAAAUAAUGAGUUGGACAGGUGAAUGUUUUUGAGUUCCUUUUCAGUUUGAAAUUGUCUUCUGUAUAAUUUUACAAAAUACUGGACCCAGAACAAAAAGUUUAUAUGUGAGUUUGCAUUGAUUCAGUAAUUAGGUACAUAAAAAAAGGAAGUUGAAAUGCAUAGCUCUCUGGAGCUUUACUUAUCAGCUUUUAGGGGAGAGCAAGUACAAUUAUAAUGGGUAUGGUUUCAUGGCAGCUUUGCUUGAUCUUUCUGUGGCAAGGAAACCUCUCCAUAGAAUCUACUUCAACCACGAAAAUCAUCAGUUUCAAUCUUCCUUUGGCAAGACAAAAGGACUCUGUUACGCUGGCAGAAAUUGUAUUCUUCUGUAUAAAAUUCUGUGUGCCAAAUAAAGAAACUUGAUAACAUUACUGCCAGCUUAAAAAAGAAAGAUUAGUGAUUUUUAAAAAGGUUACAAAUUAGAGCUUCUAAUCUGUUAUCACCAGGCAGGACUGGCGGGUAAUUGACAGUAAGCUAUUGCAAGGGAGGAUUUAGUAUAUGACUACUUUUAAGGACUAACAACCUAGUAACACACAAUGCUUGGGAAAAAUAGAAGCAUUUUAGAUGUUUUAAAGAAAAAAACAUGAAUUAUUUGUUUUAAAGAUUUUAUUUGCUUAUUCAUGAGAGGAGAGAGAGAGAAAGAGAGAGAGAGCGAGCAAGCUAGAGAGGGAAAAGCAGGCUCCUCAUGGAGCAGGAGCCUGAUGUGGAACUUGAUCCCAGGACCCUGGGAUCAUGACCUGAGCAGAAGGCAGAUGCUCAACCGACUGAGCCACCCAGGUGCCCAAGAAAAAAAAAGUGAAUUAUAAAAAUAAUUUUAGGUUACUCAGUAAUUCCACUUCUGGAUAAGUUUCUUAGGGAAAUAUUUAGAAACAUGGUAAAAGCUGUGUUCAUAAAGAUGCUGAGGAUAAGGUUAUAUAUUCAUACAAAAAGAAAAUAUUGAAGCAGCCUAAUGUUUAAUAAUGGAGCAGUAAAGUAAAUCGCACUCCAUCUGCAAGAUACAAUAAUAUGGAGAUAUAAACCAUUAGAAUGAUUAUACAGAAACAUGGAAAGAAUAGUUAUAGUACAUUAAUUGAUGAAAGCCAAGUACAGAAUAUGUGCUAUAAUAAUCAUGAUACAAAAUCAUGAAUAUCGAAAUGCAGCCAUAUGCCUCUAUUCAAACCUGGCUCCACCUCUUACCUGGGUGAAUUUGGAAAAGUUAUUAACCUCUCCUCUCAGUUCCUCAUUUCUGAAAUGAAUAUACUUUUAGAAACUCUUUCAUAGAUUGUGAAGAUUUAAUGAAUUAAUGUAUAAAAAUCACUUACAUCAGAGGAUAUGGCAUUUGGCAAACAUUAUAAAAGUGUUUGCUAUAUUUUAUUGCUUGAGAUAAUUUAUCUUAUUUCAUCUAUAAUGUCCUUUCUAUUGAUAGAAACACUGAAAUUUUUUUUAAAUAAAGAGAAUAUAAACCUUUCUUCCUCAAAUCACUUAUUCCCUCUGAUACAUAUACACCAAUUCCACACAAUUCAGGAAAAAUUACCGUAAGCUUAUGUAUUUGAUAUAGAAUCUCUGCUCUGCUCAGACUCUCAUUUAAGAUCUUAUUUCUUGGAAAGUUUCUUACAUUCACUUAGCUACACCAAUUGAUUUAUAGUUCUUCACUCAAAUAUGAAGCUCAGUGAUUACUACUGGGCUUAAAAUGAGACAUUUGACUUAUUUUUGCUUGAAUCUCUGAAAUUGUCAGAUUUCUUUGGGUGUCUUUGACAUGCUAAGAUCUCGGUCAGCAAAUAAAGAAAGCUUAUUUUUUGGAGGACAAUCGUCAUAGGCAAUCUCAUUUCAAAAACUUCUGGGAGCUUGAAUCUAGCUUUACUUUUUCUAAAACUCUUUGGCACAGAAUUUGUUUCCAUAGUCAUAAGGCAAUACAGAAGAACCCAAACUCAAACUCAUUAAAAAUCAGAUAGGCAAAAAAACUUUUGGACCAACUAUUUUUUUAAAGAUAUUAUUUAUUUAUUCAUGAGAGACAAAGAGAGGGGUAGAGACAUAGGCAGAAGGAGAUGCAGGCUCCUGGCAGGGAGCUGGAUGCAGGACUUGAUCCCAGGACCCUGGGAUCAUGUCCUGAGCUGAAGGCAGACGCUCAACCACUGAGCCACCCAGGUGUCCUAGGCCAGCUUUUAAAAUGAGAAAAUAGUUGAAAUAUUUGGAAGUAGUUGAGACCUAGGUAUUGAUGAAUAUUAGUAAUGACAUGUAGGUAGAUAUUUGUAAUAUUUAAAGAUCUUAAAUUGGAAGAAAAUUCCUAGCUCCACUGCUUUUUGUCCUAAUGUAGCUCCUCAGAGGCAACAACUUUUAUUUUUCAGUUCUUACUAUGGUUACUUCCAUGUUAUUUAAAUAAUGUGCUGAGACUCCAAAAUCUUGAUUUUUUUCUACUCUGACAGUUUUACCUGGCAAGUUAGUGCAUAUGUAUGUGUAAUGAUUGCUGGUAUAUAUGAAAUUAUUUCUAUGAUGUUAUUUUGUGUUCUUUUUCUCCAGUGCUUUCCUCUAUGUCCAUCUUUUUCUGUCCCCUUGGAUUUAUUAAGAUCUUAAAAAUUCUGAGGGCACCUGGGUGGCUCAGAGGUUGAGCUUCUGCCUUUGGCUCAGGUUGUGAUCCCAGGGUCCUAGGAUCAAGUCCAGCAUCAGGCUCCCCACAGGGAGCUGCUUCCCCCUCUGCCUAUAUCUGUGAUUCUUGUGAAUAAAUAAAUAAAAUCUUUUUAAAAAGAUUUAAUAAUUUUUCUUAUUCACUUUAAUUAGCUUAGAAGUUAUGCGUUAUAUAUCUUCUGGUAAUUAAACUUAAAUUGAUUGAUUUUUAAAUGUUAAAACAAAUUAAUAAUUUCCAUAUAAGCCCAAGUUUGUCAUGAUACAGUAUUCUUUUCAUAUAUUGCUGUUUCUGAGUUGCUAAUACUUUAGAACAUUUUCCAUCUGUGUUUAUGAGUAAGAUUGGCCUCUAACUUCCUUCCCUUUUACUGACAUUGUGGGGAUUUGCAACCCCCCAAAUUAUAAUUUUUAUAAUCAAUUGAAUCAGUGGAGAAUUAGAAACACUUUUUCAACUCUUUGGAGGAGCUUGUGUACAAUUAGAAUUAUCUUUCCUUAAAUGUUUAGUAGAGCUCAGCAGUGGAACAAUCUGGACCUGGAGUUUUCAUGGUAGAAAGUUUUACAUUACUGACCUGAUUCAUUUAACAUUAAAAUGUCUUAAAAAUUAUUUCAUACAUAUUAAAAAUUUUUGUCUGUAGAAUCUAUAAUGAUGUCAUGCAUUUUCAUGACUGGCUACAUUUCUCUCUUUAUCAGCCUAUUAAUUUUAAUAGUCUUUCCAGUUACUUUUGACCUUGUGACCCUCUCUAUUGUGUGUUUGUUUUCCAUUUUGUUAAUAUCUUCUCUUUCUUUGAAAUCACUUUAUUUUCAUUUCUUGUGAGGGAUUCCUGGUUCCUUUAUUUAAAGCUAUACAUUUCUCUCUACUCAGUGGUUUUGUUGCAUCUUGUGAAUUUUGAUAGAAAGUAUUCUCAGGUUUUACAAAGAAGUGCAUCCGAGUGGACCAAGAGGUAGGCUGUGGUAAAUGCUGGAUGUAUUGCCUGAUCAUCAUUCCAGAGGGAAUCACUGAUCCCCUCAGUUGCUGAGAAUCCUCCUGCCAGAAGGCCUGCAGCUCCAGGCCUCGUUCAUAUGCUGUCUUGACUGAUGAGUGCGCCUCACUCAUGGCUAUGCUUCCUUCUUUGGGCACUCUGUUCCCCAGUUUGGGACAAUACUUAUGGGUCAGCUUCAAAAUUUCCCCUGCGGUCAGCUCAGGUUUCUCUUGAGAUUUCAUAGCUAUAUUUCUGUCCAAAUGUUUUCUUCUUUUUAUUCACACAGAUAUGGAUCUUAAGAGUACCCUCAAAAUCCCUUGGUGGGAUAAUCUCUGUAUCAUUCUUCUCAGGGAGUUUAACCUAUGAGAGAAGGCUUUCUGGAAGAAAUGAUAUUCAAGCUGAGAAUUAAAAUAGGUGUGUAUAAGAAUAUAUGCCAAACUAUGAAAAGAGUCCAGAUGCCCAUCAACAGAUGAAUGGAUAGAAGAGGUGGUAGAAAAAAAAUAGAAAAAAAAAAAAAAAAAG
rnacentral:lncRNA from 1 species